AACAUCAAUCCCCUGUGGUUUUCUGAACCGCCGGUGGACUUGGACCUGGGCGUCUGCCUCACAAGGCUCGCCUCAAAUGACUCAGUGGGAACUUCUUGACCUACGCCUGACGUGAUAAGUUUCGUCUCGGCCGGUCUCGAGGCCCGCUCACAACAACCCAUAUCUUUUGA
rnacentral:misc_RNA from 1 species